UACGAAGGGGGCUAGCGUUGUUCGGAAUCACUGGGCGUAAAGCGCAUGCAGGCGGAUUGUUAAGUCGGGGGUGAAAUCCCGAGGCUCAACCUCGGAACUGCCUUCGAUACUGGCAAUCUUGAGUCCGGGAGAGGUGAGUGGAACUGCGAGUGUAGAGGUGAAAUUCGUAGAUAUUCGCAAGAACACCAGUGGCGAAGGCGCUCACUGGCCCGGUACUGACGCUGAUGCGCGAAAGCCAGGGGAG
rnacentral:rRNA from 1 species